rnacentral:rRNA from 1 species
GCACAAGGGGCGCAAGCGUGAUGUAUCCAUCCAGCGUGUAUGAAGAAGGCGUUCGGCUUGUAAAGCACUUUCAGUCCGGAGGAAAGGUUAGUAUUUAAUACGUGCUAGCUGAGACGUUAUAGAUAGAAGAUGCGCGGGGUAAAUCCGUGCCAGCACACGCGGUAAUAUGGAGGGUGCGAGCGUUAAUCCGAAUUUCUGGGCGUAAAGAGUACGCAGGCGGUUUGUUAAGAGAGAUGUGAAAGCCCCGGGCUCUACAUUGGAAGUGCAUUUUGAACUGUCACACUAGAGUGUGAUAGAGGGUGGUAGAAUAUCAGGUGUAGCGGUGAAAUGUGUAGAGAUAUGAAGGAAUACAGCUGGAGAAGGCAGCCACUUGGGUCAACACUGACGCUCAUGUAAGAAAGAGUGGGGAGCAAACAGGAUUAGAUACCCCGGUAGUGCACGCGGUAAACGAUGUCUAUUAGAAGCUCGGAGCCUCGGGUCUGUGUUCAAAGCUAACGCAUUAAGUGUC